UAGGGAAGUCUUCCACAAUGGGCGCAAGCCUGAUGGAGCAACACCGCGUGAGUGAAGAAGGGUUUCGGCUCGUAAAGCUCUGUUGUUGGAGAAGAACGUGCGUGAGAGUAACUGUUCACGCAGUGACGGUAUCCAACCAGAAAGUCACGGCUAACUACGUGCC
rnacentral:rRNA from 1 species